AAUAAUCAGUUUAGUUCCAAAUUCCAGAGCAAGCACAUCUAGCUCAGUACAAAAACAUUUAAAAGUAUUUAUUUAUAUUUCGGCUAGAUUUAAGCAUAAAGUGAAAAUAAAAUAGUCGAACAAAUUUUUAUAGUUUUAUUUAGUAACACAAUUAGUAAAGAAACCUGAUCAAGUAAUAAAAGUAUUCUUAAACAAGUAAAGAAUAAAUCCUUAAACAAGCUCUGUCGUCGUAAUCAAUUUACAGACCAUAAAUACAAGAAAUUAACAGAUCCCGAAAGAAUUUACAAUGGUAUCUUGGUAUACACCAAUUAUCCACCGAAACGCAUUCGUAAAUAAAAAGGUUCGGGUCCAGACGUUAAAAAAAUAAAGGUUUAAUCGAGACAAACACAAUGGAGGAAGUUAAUAAUCAAUACACCUGAAACUGUAAUAAUUGGCAGAAACAGCUUAUAAAAAAUAUACACUGACACAAAGUCCUUCCUGAUAUACUUCCUGAUAUACCUUCCUGAUAUACCUUCCUGAUAUACCUUCCUGAUACUAUAUAUUCUAAUUCCUGAUUCAAUACAACAAUAAACAAAAAUC